AAUUCACAGGAAAUGCUAAGUAAACUGGCUUCCUAUGUUCUCAGCACUGGGGAGCCUGGGGUAGGAGGGGGAUGAGACACCUCCUUCCGGUUGAACUUAGGUGGGGAGGGGAAAAUGUGGUCCCCAGAGAGGAAAUUAGUGGGGAAACCUGCCAGCACCAUUGUUUAGGCGAUAAGGCGGGAUUUUGAGGCAACAUCAAAAAACAAAAACAAAAAAAAACACCCAGAAACAGGCUAUUGCAGUUUUGGCCCGACUGGUCUUGAACUCCUGGCCUCAAGCGAUCCUCCCAUUUUUCUUUUUUUUUUUUUGAGACAGAGUUUCCUCUGUUGCCCAGGCUGGAGUGCAGUGGUGCAACCGUGGCUCACUGCAGCCUUCACCUCCUGGUUCAAGUGAUUCCCCUGCCUCAGCCUCCUGAGUAGCUGGGAUUACAGGCAUGCACCACCACACCUAGCUAUUUUUUUUUUUUUUUUUUUAAGUAAAGACAGGGUUUCACCAUGUUGGCCAGACUGGUGUCGAACUCCUGACCUCAAAUGAUCUGCCCGCCUUGGCCUCCCAAGGUUCUGGGAUUACAGGCAUGAGCCACUGUGCACGGCUGAUCCUCCCAUCUUGACCCCAAAAAGUGUUGGGAUUACAGGCUUGAGCCACCUCGCCUGGCCACCUUUGAAGAUCUUGGGGACACCUCCCUAUCUUGAAGAUCUUGGGGACCCCCAUCCCCUGCACAAAGAGAGGAGGCACAUGUUUUGGGGACAGCUGAGUCCCUGAGCCACUGUCGUUCCAGGAUUCUCCUUGGUUUUUGUUUUGUUUUGAGACAGGGUCUCACUCUGUCACCCAGGCUGGAGUGCAGUGGUGGGAUGUUGGCUCACUACAGCCUCUGCCUCCCAGGUUCAAGCGAUUCUCCUGCCUCGGCCUCCCGAGUAGCUGGGACUACAGGUGUGCACCACUAUGCACGGCUAAUUUUUGCACUUUUUGGUAGAGAUGGGAUUUCACCAUGUUGGCCAGGCUGUUCUUGAACUCCUAACCUCAAGGGAUCCACCUGCCUUGGCCUCCAAAGGGAUUACAUGCCUGAGCCACCUCACCCUGCCUUCCAGAAUUCUAUUUGUAACUGGACUUUACUCCAUCCCAUUGCCCCCUUGCUCACCCCUCCAGGCAGCUGGUCACUUCAUUCCAAGGGUAGGCACCAAUGAGGGGAUCUGCCUCCUGGGCCUCACAUCUGAGCUCCAGAGAGGGACCUUGUUGAGGGCCUUGAUGGGGCCCUGUAUUCACCCACAUUCCCCAGACCUUGAGGUCACAGCACCUCCUCUGUCAUAUGGAGCACCCCUGCCUUCCUAACGAGGUCCCUCCUCUAUUGCUCUGCCUUCCUGACAUUCCAUCUCCCACCUGGUGUUGAGAGGGCAACUAAAUCCAAGUCCGAAGUAUUUGUAAAUAGCAGGGCCCAGUAUCAUGGGCCUGGCGCCUGUAGUCCCAGCUCCUUGGGAGACUGAGGUGAGAGGAUCAGAGCCUGGGAGGCUGAUGCUGCAAUGGGCCGAGAUUGCACCUGUGCACUCCAGCCUGAGCGAUACAGUGAGACCCUGUUUCCAAAAACAAAGAUGCGGGGCUCAGUGGCUCAUGACUGUAAUCCCAGCACUUUGGGAGGUGGAGGUGGGCAGCUCAUUUGAGGUCAGGAGUUCCAGAUCAGCCUGGACAACAUGAUGAAACCCCGUCUCUACUAAAAAUACAAAAAUUAGCUGGGUGUGGUGACUUGCACUUAUAAUCCCAGCUUCUCGGGAGGCUGCAGCACAAGAAUUGCUUGAACCCGGGAGGUGGAGGUUGCAGUGAGCUGAAAUUGCACCACUGCACUCUUGCCUGGGCGACAGAGCAAGAUUCUAUUUUAAAAUAAUUAUAAUAUUUAUAUAAUAGUGAGACCCUGUCUGUAAAAAUAAAAAUGAAAGAAAUAUUUGUCAAUAAAUCAUAUUUCUGUCCGGGUGACUCACACCUGUAAUCCCAGCACUUUGGGAGGCCGAGGCGGGUUGACCAUUUGAGGUCAGGAGUUGGAGACCAGCCUGGCCAACAUGGUGCAACCCUAUUUCUACUAAAAAUACAAAAAGAAUUAGCCAGGCAUGGUGGCUUGCACCUAUAAUCCCAGCUACUCAGGAGGCUGAGGCAGGAAAUUGCUUGAGCCUGGGAGGCGGAGGUUACAAUGAGCCGAAAUCACACCACUGCACUCCAGUCUGGGUGACAGAGUGAGACCCUGUAUCAAAAAAAUAAUCAUAAAAAUAAAUUAUAUAUAUAUAUAUAUAUAUAUAUAUAUAUAUAUUUUUUUUUUUUUUUUUUUUUUUGAAACAGGUUCUCAUUGUGGCCGCCAGGCUGGAGUGCAGGGAUGCAAUCUUAGCUAACUGCAGCCCCUGCCUCCCAGGUUCAAGCAGUCCUCCAGCCCAGCCUCCCUAGAGCUGGGAGCACAGGUGCACAUCACUGUGCCUGGCUAAUUUUUUGUAGAAACAGCGUUCACCAUUUUGCCCAGACUGGUCUGGAACUCCUAAUCAAGGGACCUGCCUGCCUUGACCUCCCAAAGUGCUGGCAUUAUAGGUAUGCCCCACUGCAGCUGCACCCGCCAGUAAUAUUUCUGAUAAAGAAAUAUUUCUAGGCUGGGCAUGGUGGUUUAUGCCCGUAAUCCUAGCACUUUGGGAAGCCAAGGUGGGCAGAUCCCUUGAGGUUGGGAGUUUGAGACCAGCCUGGGCAAAACCCUGUCUCUACUAAAAAAAAAAAAAAAAAUCAGCCACAAGUGGGACUACACCUGUACUCCCUGCAACUCAGGAGGCUGCAACAGGAGGAUUGCUUGAGCUCGGGAGAUUGAGGUUGCAGUUAGCUGAGAUUGCACCCCUGCACUCCAGUCUGGGUGACAGAGAAAGGUCACCUACACAUGUUUAAGGGGCCUCUGCGGCCCGGUGUGGUGGCUCACACCUGUAAUCCCAGCACUUUGGGAGGCUGAGGUGGGAUUACAAGAUCAGGAGUUUUGAGACCACCCCUGACCAAUAUGGAGAAACCCCGUCUCUACUAAAAAUACAAAAAUUAGCCAGGCAUGGUGGUACGCCCCUGUUAUCCCAGCUACUCGGGAGGCUGAGGCAGGAGAAUUGCUUGAACCCAGGAGGUGGAAGUUUCAGUGAGCCGAGAUCUACUUUUUCCAGCCUGGGCCACAGAGCAAGACUCUGUCUUAAAAAAAAAAAAAGAGAGAGAGAGAGAGAAAAGAAAGUGGGGGUGGCCUCUGCACAUUUCUUAAAACCUUUACAAGAAAGCAAGGAUAGUCUGGAUUGCAAACUAUAUCAGUUAAGCUUCAGCUGAGUUUUUUUUUUUUUUUUUUUGAGACACGGUCUCACUUGUUGCCCAGGCUGUAGUACAAUGGCACUAUCUGGGCUCACUGCAACCUCCGCCUCCCAGGUUCAAGCAAUUCUCCCACCUCAGCCUCCCAAAGUGCUGGGAUUACAGGGGUGAACCACUGUGCCUGGCUUUCACUCUCGGCUAUUAAACAAUGAAGGUAUUUAUUGAUCUUAUCUCUUUCAUAUUCUUCUAAGAACUGAGAGCCAGAGGCUGUAUUGAGUCUCUUCAUGCACCAGGAACUGAGCUCUGAAGAUGAUCUUAUUAUUAUCAUUAUUUUUUGAGAUAGGUUAUCACUUUGUUGCCCAGGCUGGAGUGCAGUGGUGCGAUCGUGGCUCACUGCAUCCUCUGCCUCCUAGGUUCAAGCAAUUCUCCUGCCUCAGCCUCCUGAGUGCCUGCCACCAUGUCUGGCUAAUUUUUGUAUUUUUAAUAGAGGUGGGGUUUCACCAUGUUGCCCAGGCUGGCCUUAAACUCCUGUUCUCAGGUGAUCCUCCUGCUUCGGCCUCCUAAAGUGCUAGGAUUAUAGGUGUGAGCCACUGGGCCCAGCUGAAGAUGAUCUUAUUAAUUGCUGUUCUGACAAUCAUAGAUUAACACUGUUCCUUUCCUUUAUUGUGAAAAAAUUAAACUUGGCUGGGCAUGGUGGCUCACACCUAUAAUUCCAGCACUUUGGGAGGAUCACUUGAGCCCAGGAGUUUGAGACCAGCCUGGGCAACAUAAGGAGACCCCUGUCUCUAUUAUUUCAAAAAUAAAAAUUGGCCAGGCACGGUGGCUCAAACCUGUAAUCCCAGCACUUUGGGAGGCCGAGACAGGUGGAUCAUGAGGUCAAGAGAUCGAGACCAUCCAGGUCAACAUCAUGAAACCCCGUCUCUACUAAAAAUACAAAAAAUUAGCUGGGCAUAGUGGCACGUGCCUGUAAUCCCAGCUACUCAGGAGGCUGAGGCAGGAGAAUUGCCUGAACUCAGGAGGCGGAGGUUGCGGUGAGCCAAGAUCACACCAUUGCACUCCAGCCUGGGUAACAAGAGCGAAAACUCUGUCUUUAAAAAAAAAAAAAAUUAAGAAAAAGAAAAAACCCUCUAAAAGCCUUUUGGGAAUCCUCACUAAAAACAUGGAACACAUUCGACUAUGUACAUGUUGAAAGAUUUUUUUUUUUUUGAGAUGGAGUCUUGAUUUGUUUCCCAGGUUGGAGUGCAGUGGCAAGACCUUGGCUCACUACAGCCUCCACCUCCCAGGUUCAAGUGAUUCUCCUGCCUAAGCCUCCCUGAGUAGCUGCGAUUACAGGCACUCGCCACCACGUAUGACCAGCCUGACCAAUAUGGUGAAACCCCAUCUCUACUAAAAAUACAAAAAUUAGCCGGGCAUGGUGGCACCUGCCUGUAGUCGUAGCUACUCGGGAGGCUAAGACAGGAGAACUGCUUCAACCCGGGAGGCACAAGUUGCAGUGAGCCGAGAUUGUGCCACUGCACUCCAGCCUGGGCAAUAAAUCAAGAAAACUCGAUCUCGAAAAAAAAAGAGGAAAAUACAAACUGCAUCUUUGAUGGAUCUGGGUGGUGGCGACUCAUGUCACAAAAGGAAGAACAAGCAGAACUUGUGUCCUUCCUCUGAGAGCAUGAAUGCCUUCCAUUAAGUAAUCUCACUAAAAAAUCGAAAGUGAAUCUAACAGUUUACAGCAAGUCAAGUUCAGCUGACAGAACGUCAGAUUGGCAAAGUCAACAGUAUAGGCCAGGCUCAGUGGCUCAUCCCUGUAAUCCCAGCACUUUGGGAAGCAGACGCAGAUGGAUCACCUGAGAUCAGGAGUUCAAGACUACCCUGGCCAACAUGGUGAAAUCCCAUCUCUACUAAAAAUAUAAAUAUUAGCCAGGUAUGCUCACCCACACCUGUAAUCCCAUCUACUUGGGAGGCUGAGACAGGAGAAAUGCUUGAACCCAGGAGGUGGAGGUUGCAGUGAGCCGAGACCAUGCCACAGCACUCCAGCCUGGGUGACAGAGCAAGAUUCUGUUAAAAAAAAAAAAAAAAAAAAAAAAGAAAGAAAGUCAAUAGGACAAACAUAGUUUCAUCAACAAAUAUGUUGCAAGGGAGCAAAAGACAGCAAGAGGAACCCACAGACCAAAAGAGACUUACACAGAGAACUGGCCCCCACCAGUGCAACUGGGGACCUUGUUUAUAUUUUUAUUAUUAAUGAAUUAAUUAGUUUUAAGGAGCAGGGAGUUUAAUAGGCAAGAAAGAAGGGGAAAGAAAAAAAGAAGCAGCUCCGCUGUACAGAGCCAGAGGGAGGGGGGCUCCAAGGCCAAGAGACAGAAUCCCUUAUUUUUUUCUUUUUUUUUUUUUUUUUUGAGACAGAGUUUCACUCUUGUUGCCCAGGCUUAAGUGCAAUGGUUACAAUCUCAACUCAUGGCAACCUCCGCCUCCUGGGUUCAAGCGAUGCUCUUGUCUCAGCCUCCCGAGUUGCUGAGAUUACAGGCAUGCACCACCACAACCAGCUAAUUUUGUGUUUUUAGUAAAGACAGGGUUUCUCCAUGUUGGUCAGGCUGGUCUUGAACUCUUGACCUCAGGUGAUCCUCCUGCCUCAGCCUCCCAAAUUGCUGGGAUUACAGGUGUAAGCCACCAUGCCUGGCCUGUAUUUUUAUUUUUUUAUUCCAUUUCCUUUUUUUAAGGACUAAAAGAGACUUACAGGCGAGGCAUGGUGAAUUACACCUGUAAUCCCAGUACUUUGGGAAGCCAGGUGGGUGGAUACUUGAGGUCAGGAGUUGGAGACCAGCUUGGGAAGCAUAGUGAAACCCCAUCUCUACUAAAAGUGCAAAAAUUAGCUGGGUGUGGUGCAGGCACCUGUAAUCUCAGAUACUCAGGAGGCUGAGGCAGGAGAAUCACUUGAACUGGGGAGGCAGAGGUUGCAGUGAACUGAGGUUGUGCCACUACAGUCCAGCCUGGGCGACAGAGUGAGAUUCCGUCUCAAAAAAAAAGAGAUUUACAAAAAACUGGCCUCAACCAAAUGCAAUUGGGGACUUUGUUUGUAUUUUUAUUUUUUAUUCAAAACUGAAAAGAAAUGAUCUAUUGGCUGGGUGUGGUGGCUCAUGCCUGAAAGCCCAGAACUUUGGGAGGCCAAGGUAGGAGAAUCAUUUAAACCCAGGACUUUGAGACCAGUCUGGGUAACAUGGCAAAAUUUUGCCUCUACAAAAAAUACAGAAUUAGCUUGAGCAUGGGAGGCAGAGGUUGCAGUGAGCAGAGAUUGCGUCACUGCACUCCAGCCUGGGUAACAGAGCAAGACUGUUUCAAAAUUGUGGGGACAGUAAAUAACAGAUCAGUGGUUGCCAGGGAUUAGUGAGAAGGGAGGGAUGAAUAGACAGAGCAUGAAUGACUUUUAGGGCAGUGAAACUACUCCACGUGAUACUAUAAUGCCUUAUACGUUUGUCCAACCCCACAGAAUGUACAACAGGAAGAGUGAACCCUCAUGUACAGAAUUUGGGGGGAAAAUGGCAACUCUGCCUUCCCGGGGCUCCAAACCACGGUCAGAAGGGGAACUGGUCUCAUUUACUCUGCGCUGAGAGCUGCCCCGCCGAGGUGCCGUCACAGCCGCUGCACCAGCCUCAGGAGUCGUGCUGGGGACCAGUGUGGCCCCUCCAAACCUCGGUCAGAAGGGGAGCCAGCCCUGUUUACUCUGCUCCGAGGAUCUUCUGCUCCAUGAGCGACCAGAAUUUGUCUGAAAGUUUCGCGUGCUCUAGUUCUCUGCGCUUUCUCUGAGAGCUGCAAUCCCGAGAUGUUAGCGAUCAGCCAUCUUGGAUUGUUCCCCAGAUUUUUUUUUUUUUUUUCUUUUUUUGUGAGAGAGUCUCGCUCUGCCACCUAGGCUGGAGUGCAGUGGUGUGAUCUUGCCUCACUGCAACCUCUGCCUCCUGGGUUCAAGCAAUUCCCCUGCCUCAGUAUCCCAAGUGACUGGGACUACAAGCACACUCUACCACGCCCAGCUAAUUUUUUUUGUAUUUUAGUAGAGAUGGGGUUUCACCAUCUUGGCUGGGAUGGUCUCCAUCUUCUGACCUCAUGACCCACCCACCUUGGCCUCCCAAAGUACUGGGAUUACAGGCGUGAGCCACCACACCUGGCCAAUACUUUUUUUUUCUUUUUUGAGAGCGUCUUGCUCUCUUGCCCAGGCUGGAGUGCAGUGGUGUGACCUCAGCUCACUGUACUCUGCCUUCCAAUUCAAGCAAUUCUGCCUCAGCCUCUCCAGUAGCUGAGAUUACAGACACGUGCCACCAUACCUGGCUAAAUAUUUUUUUUCAGUUGGAGUUUUGCUCUUGCUGCCCAGGCUGGAGGGCAAUGGCAUGCUCUCGGCUCACUGCAACCUCCACCUUCUGGGUUCAAGUGAUUCUCCUGCCUCAGCUUCCCAAGUAGCAGGGAUUACAGGCACCCACCACCAUGCUCAGCUAAUUUUUGCAUUUUUAGUAGAGAAGGGGUUUCACCAUGUUGGCCAGGCUGGUCUCGAACUCCGGACCUCAGGUGAUCCACCUGCCUUGGCCUCCCAAAGUGCUGAGAUUACAGGCGUGAGCCACUGUGCCCCACCAAUUUUUGUAUUUUUAGUAGAGACAUGGUUUCUCCAUGUUGGCCAGGCUGGUCUCAAACUCCUGCCCUUAACUGAUCUGCCCACCUUGGCUUUCCAAAGUGCUGGGAUUACAGAUGUGAGACACUAUAGCCAACCAACCUCAUUUUUUAAAUUUUCAUUUAAAAAUAAUACAGAUCAGGUCUUCGUAUGUUGCCCAGGCUGGUCUUGGAACUCCUGGGCUCAAGGAAUCUUCCUGCCUCAGCCUCCCAAAGUGCUGACAUUAUAGGCAUGACUCACUGUGUACAGCCAACUAUAAUAUUGACUAUUAAGCACUUGUUUGCAUGUCUUUCUGCUAAGCAUUUUACAGACACCACCUCAUGAGCUCUUUACAUAAAUCCUAUGAAGUAACAAGUGUGAAGGUUCCAUAAUGGAGGACCAAGGCCCAGAGAGGUGAAGCCAUUUGCCUGAGGUCACACAGAAAUGUGAAAGCGUGAAACUGGCAGUCCAAUCUAUGUAGCAUGUGACUGCCCCAACCAAAUACUUUGUGCAUUCAGCAACUAGUUAUUAGCUGGGCCCGGUGGCUCACGACUGUAAUCCCAGCACUUUGGGGAGGCCGAGGCAGGUGGAUCACCUGAAGUCACGAGUUCAAGACUAGCCUGGCCAAUGUAGUGAAAUCUCAUCUUCACUAAAAAUACAAAACUUAGCCGAGCAUGGUGGUGGGCACCUUUGAUCCCAGCUACUCAGGAAGCUGAGGCAGGAGAAUCUCUUGAACCCAGGAGGUGGUGGUUGCAGUGAGCCGAGAUUGUACCAUUGCACUCCAGCCUGGGCUACAAGCGAGAUUCCAUGUCAAAACAAACAGGUAGUUAUUGAGUGACUUCUGUGUACCAGGUACUGGACUGGCUGUUGGUCUGGGAGUAGGUAAAAGUGUAAUUAGUUGAGGCCUGGUGCGGUAGCUCACCACUGUGUAAUCCUAGCACUUUGGGACGCUAAGAUGGAUGCAUGGCUUGAGCUCAGGAUUUUGAGACCACCCUGAACAACAUGGCAAAACCCAGUCUCUACAAAAGUACCAGAAAAAAAUUAGCCUGGUGUGGUGGCGCAUGCCUGUGGUCCCAGCUACUGGGGAGAGUGAAGCUGGAGGAUCACUUGAGCCCAAACGACAGAGGUAGCAGUGAGUGAGAUCGAGCCACUCCACUCUAAGACUUAGUGACAGAACCAGACCCUGUCCAAAAAAAAAAAAAAAAAUUAAAUUGUUGAAUCCUGGCUGGUA